rnacentral:rRNA from 1 species
AACGUAGGGGGCGAGCGUUGUCCGGAAUUACUGGGCGUAAAGGGCGCGUAGGCGGUUCCUUAAGUCAGAGGUGAAAACUGUCGGCUCAACCGGCAGCCUGCCUUUGAAACUGGGGGACUUGAGGGCAGGAGAGGGGAGUGGAAUUCCCAGUGUAGCGGUGAAAUGCGUAGAUAUUGGGAGGAACACCAGUGGCGAAGGCGACUCUCUGGCCUGUUACUGACGCUGAGGCGCGAAAGCGUGGGGAUCAAACAGG